UAUAGCUCAGUGGCAGAGUGUCUGCUUUGGAUGCAGAAGGUCUCAGGUUCAAUCCUUGGCAUCAGGAG